rnacentral:rRNA from 1 species
GGACGAACGCUGGCGGCGUGCCUAACACAUGCAAGUCGAGCGGAGACAGUUGGAAGCUUGCUUUUGACUGUUUUAGCGGCGGACGGGUGAGUAACGCGUGAGCAACCUUUCCCAGACAGGGGAAUAACACACCGAAAGGUGUACUAAUACCGCAUAAGACCACGGGAUCACAUGGUUCUGGGGUAAAAGAAUUAUCGGUUUGGGGUGGGCUCGCGUCCGAUUAGGUAGUUGGUGAGGUAACGGCCCACCAAGCCGACGAUCGGUAGCCGACCUGAGAGGGUGAUCGGCCACAUUGGGACUGAGACACGGCCCAAACUCCUACGGGAGGCAGCAGUGGGGAAUAUUGGGCAAUGGAGGAAACUCUGACCCAGCAACGCCGCGUGGAGGAAGAAGGUUUUCGGAUCGUAAACUCCUGUCCUUGGAGACGAGUAGAAGACGGUAUCCAAGGAGGAAGCCCCGGCUAACUACGUGCCAGCAGCCGCGGUAAUACGUAGGGGGCAAGCGUUGUCCGGAAUAAUUGGGCGUAAAGGGCGCGUAGGCGGCUCGGUAAGUCUGGAGUGAAAGUCCUGCUUUUAAGGUGGGAAUUGCUUUGGAUACUGUCGGGCUUGAGUGCAGGAGAGGUUAGUGGAAUUCCCAGUGUAGCGGUGAAAUGCGUAGAGAUUGGGAGGAACACCAGUGGCGAAGGCGACUAACUGGACUGUAACUGACGCUGAGGCGCGAAAGUGUGGGGAGCAAACAGGAUUAGAUACCCUGGUAGUCCACACUGUAAACGAUGAAUGCUAGGUGUAGGGGGUAUCGACCCCUUCUGUGCCGCAGUCAACACAAUAAGCAUUCCGCCUGGGGAGUACGGCCGCAAGGUUGAAACUCAAAGGAAUUGACGGGGGCCCGCACAAGCAGCGGAGCAUGUGGUUUAAUUCGACGCAACGCGAAGAACCUUACCAGGUCUUGACAUCCACUUAAACUUACAGAGAUGUAAGGUGUGCUUGCACAAAGUGAGACAGGUGGUGCAUGGUUGUCGUCAGCUCGUGUCGUGA